rnacentral:lncRNA from 1 species
GCCUGCAUAAAAAAACCCAAGAAGAAGUGUUUCGGAUAAAGUUUGUUAGGUCAGCCAAGGCCUGGUGAAAAAUUUGGACCUCUCUUUAGCGAGAGUUAAAUAUUUUGACCUAGUUCGUACGUUACUACACGCACCUGAAUUCAUGUGCUCCAUAGCCUGAAGUUCCCUUUAAUUACCUAAGGAAGGAUCUCUUCUCUUUGUUCCUUC